rnacentral:rRNA from 1 species
GUGAGGAAUAUUGGGCAAUGGGCGAAAGCCUGACCCAGCCACGCCGCGUGAGUGAUGAAGGCCUUCGGGUUGUAAAGCUCUGUGGGGAGGGAAGAAAAAGCGGGAGAGUAACUGCUCUCGUGUUGACGGUACCUCCUUAGCAAGCACCGGCUAACUCUGUGCCAGCAGCCGCGGUAAUACAGAGGGGGCAAACGUUGCUCGGAAUUACUGGGCGUAAAGCGCGUGUAGGCUGACAUGCAAGUCGGGUGGGAAAUCCCAGGGCUCAACCUUGGAACUGCACUCGAAACUGCACGUCUUGAGUACUGGAGAGGGAAGCGGAAUUCCGGGUGUAGAGGUGAAAUUCGUAGAUAUCCGGAGGAACACCAGUGGCGAAGGCGGCUUCCUGGACAGUAACUGACGCUGAGACGCGAAAGCGUGGGGAGCAAACAGGAUUAGAAACCCCAGUAGUCC